CUCUUUGUUACUUAGUCUGACAGUAUAUACUGAGAGAGAGAGAGAGAGAGGGAGGGAGGGAGGGAGAGAGAGAGAGAGCGAGCACACCAUGGAGACACGGAGGUGAGCAGGAGAGGUUGAGGAAAGUCUCACAGAGUUGGGGCGUCUGCCCAAGUCUUCCCCAUGUGCCCAGCCAGAGCAGCCCUGGGAACCAAGGUGGAGGCCCAAAGGCUCCUGCAGUUGACAUGUGGUGACUACCGAAUGUGCCAGCAGCAAGUGCUUUGGGAGAGGCAGGAAUGCAGGUAGAAAGGAAAAGAAGAGGCAGAUCAUGGGUGUUGGGAGGUAGGUCUCAUCCUCGGCCUAAAGGAGACGCAGCAGUGGCUGCCAAGGGGAAUGAAUGGAGGAGGACAUAGCCUGGUGGGUGCAGGAAAAAGCCCCUUGGUGGGCACCUGGGCACCAGAGCCAAGCAGAUGCAUACAGAGGCCAAGGCACUGGGCCCAGAAGUUCAGCUGAGAGACCCACCUGGACUGGAAGAGGAAGAAAGUCCAGAGGCUUAGGGCAAGAGUUCACACCUGGGCACCUAUGGAAUCACCUGGGGGCCUCAUGACAGGCUGGUGCCUGCCUGGACUCUGCCCAGACCAGUUAAAUAAUGAUGGACAAGCUCCUCAGAGGAUUCUCUUUCGCAGCCAGAGUUGAGAAUCACUGAGGUUUUCAGCCAAGACAGCAGGAGGGGCUGGUGCGGUUGGCCUUGCCAUAGCUGCAGGACAUCCCUGUGGAGAGGUUUGUUCACUCACAGGUGUGGACCACCAUGACUGCCACCCUGGAGGCUUCCACCAAGCAGACCAUAACUGGACAGGAGGAUGCUCUGUGACGACACCGUCUCACCAGGGGAAUGAGUAGCACACUUUCGUUUCCUUGGAGCCAAACAACAAUCGUGCUCGCCUUUUACUGAGAGCUUCCUGAGUGCUGGGAACAGGGUCGGAUGCAUCAUCUUGUGGCAUCCCUCCCUCUGCCGACACACGGUACGUCUGCUGUCGUCACCUGGGUUUCUGAAGAUGGAAAAGCAGUUUGCCACAGUCAUGCGACAGCUCAAAUUGCUUGGCUGGGCAGUGCCAGGCUAUGACCUCAUGCGUCCUAUCCAUCUACAAUGCUGUGACUUUGACCCUCACACUGUACUGCUUUUUCUUCAGGUGAUUUCAGCUGUUUUUGUCUAGGAAGAUUUCUAAUUCUUCUAGAACUCAAAGUUCUUAGGGAAACGCCAUAUCAAGUAAGUGUUUUUAUAUC